rnacentral:rRNA from 1 species
UGAUACGGUUAUGGUUAACCACACGGCCCCUCGGGCCCGACCCGAGCCCAGUCAACGUUUUGACCCGAUCAAAUCGGCCCGUGACCCGAAACGACCCUACUUGGGCCCUACAACAGCCACGUAAAGUUUCGGGAUGAUCCGACGUUCUUUCAUGGGGUUACGGACAAUCCACGCCAAACAAGCGUCACGGGCCGACCGAGCCGGGCCAACGGGCCCUCGGGACCCGAAAACUGAAUUUUUUUUCUUCCAAACCCAUUAAAACACGUUACCGAGGUCUCACGCAAAAUUUCAUGCCAAUCCGACGUCGUUUGAUGGGGUUUUGAAAAAUUAUGAUUCCUCAAAAAUUUAAUGUCUGUUCCUGUCACUUAGCUUUUUGUGCAAAAUGUAUAUAUAGGGGAGGGGUGGGUGUUGAGCAGCCCAUGCCCGGGCAAGGCGUGCCAGCGCCCAAGCCAAAGGAGGCUGGUGGCGUGCGUAUAACAGCUCAAAUGCCCCAACGAUGACCGAGAACAAGCGCCCAUCUCCCCUCCUUCCCCCCCCCACCAAGCGCCCCUCCCCCCCAUGUUGCCUGCCCACUCGCACAGCUACUCGUGAUUUCAUGCCCAGCGACUAGUGAAUGUGCCUCGACGACCAGCAAACCUCGAAAAUUAUGAUUCCUCGUAAAAUUAAUGUCUGUUCCUGUCACUUUACUUUUUGUGCAAAAUGUAUAUAUAGGGGAGACCAGGGGCUUGAGCAACCCCUGUGCCCAAGCAAGGGUCAGAUGGAAGCACACGAGACGCGAGGUUUAAAGCCUAUACAAGCAAGGCGUCUGUCUCCCCAAGCCCCAUUGCCUAUAAAACAAGCCCGAUGCCUUGUAAAUGCCCCACACGAUGCCUAUAAACGACAACGAUGUUUGCUAGUUAAUCGAUCGACGCCCCACACCUUGCAGCAUGUUGCCUAGUAAACAAGCCAUGCUGCCUUGGAAGCGCCCCACAUCAUGGCAUGUUGCCUAGCACGCUGCCCUUGUUUCCCGCACGGCGACCUGAAAGCGUGGCCUGACGACGUGCUUGCCUUCGAAAAUUAUGAUUCCUCAAAAAAUUAAUGUCUGUUCCUGUCACUUUACUUUUUGU